CCAGAGCCUGGGACUCAAAAUCUGAGUUUAGACACAGGAGGGAUGAGGAGGACCAGAAUUUUAUCACCAUCUUCUCAUUUUGAAUCACACUUCAGUAUCUUCACCCAUCAAACCACUUUUCAUUCUACAACAACAUGCUUCUUUAUCAAAGUCUUCAGUAUGGAUUCUGAACAUAUUUCAUGAAAUGUGCUGAGUAAAGUUCAGCUUUGUUCCAGAGAGACACUGCUUUGCUGCAGAGAGUCAAGGAUAGUACAAAAACAGUGGAUCUUUUCCCCCUUUUUGCACCAAUCAUUUUGGAAUUGUUACCAUUGGAAGCUUUCAAUUUAAAUCUUUAUAUUUAAGAAUGAGAGCAUUCACAAACACACAGGGAAGAGCUUGUGUUUUUUGUACAACUUAUAAAGAAAUGGAAAGUAACAACCACAAGUCUUUAAAGGAUGAGGAUGGAUGGAAUGGAUGGAUGAAUGGAUGGAUGGCCAAAUAAAAAGGGAAAGGAACAAUCAGUACUUGAA